GCUUACGGCCACACCGCCUGGUUCACGCCCGAUCUCGUUUGAUCUCGGAAGCUAAGACAGGUUGGGCCUGGUUAGUACUUGGAUGGGAGACCGCCUAGGAAUACCAGGUGCUGUAAGGC
ensembl:rRNA 5S_rRNA 5S ribosomal RNA